GGGCGGAUGGCGGAAUGGCAGACGCGCAUGCCUUAGGAGCAUGUGAGGAAACUCAUGGAGGUUCAAGUCCUCUUCCGCCCA
rnacentral:tRNA from 2 species